rnacentral:rRNA from 1 species
GUCCACGCCCUAAACGAUGUCGACUGGUUGUUGGGGUUUGACACUCUCAGUAACGAAGCUAACGCGUGAAGUCGACCGCCUGGGGAGUACGGCCGCAAGGUUAAAACUCAAAGGAAUUGACGGGGACCCGCACAAGCGGUGGAUUAUGUGGAUUAAUUCGAUGCAACGCGAAAAACCUUACCUACCCUUGACAUGUCCGGAAGGCUUGAGAGAUCAGGCUGUGCCCGAAAGGGAACCGGAACACAGGUGCUGCAUGGCUGUCGU